rnacentral:pre_miRNA from 9 species
UCUCGAUAGUGUAAAAGUUAACUCAUAUUUGUAUGGAGUUGGAACUAUUGCCUACGUUUGCCGCUAGAGGCGCUGUUCCAACUCUAUACAAUUUUGAGUUAACUUUUACGCUAUCGA